UUGCCCGAAUCCUGACACAGGGAGGUAGUGACAAGAAAUAACAAUACAGGGCUACUUCUAGUCUUGUAAUUGGAAUGAGUACAACUUACAUCUCUUCACGAGGAUCAACUGGAGGGCAAGUCUGGUGCCAGCAGCCGCGGUAAUUCCAGCUCCAGAAGCGUAUAUUAAAGUUGUUGCAGUUAAAACGCUCGUAGUCGGGUUUCGGGUCGGGCCGAGCGGUCUGCCGAUGGGUAUGCACUGUUUGGCGCGGCCUUCUUUCCGGAGACCGCGGCUACUCUUAACUGAGCGGGCGUGGGAGACGGAUCGUUUACUUUGAAAAAAUCAGAGUGUUUCAAGCAGGCAGCUCGCUCUUGCAUGGUACAGCAUGGGAUGAUUGAAUAGGACUCCGGUGCUAUUUUGUUGGUUUCGAACACCAGGAGUAAUGAUUAACAGGGACAGUCAGGGGCACUCGUAUUCCGUCGAGAGAGAUGAAAUUCUCAGACCAAUGGAAGACGAACCACUGCGAAAGCAUUUGCCAGGGAUGUUUUCACUGAUCAAGAACGAAAGUUAGGGGAUCGAAGACGAUCAGAUACCGUCGUAGUCUUAACCAUAAACCAUGCCGACUAGGGAUUGGAGGGUGUUCGUUUCGACCUCUUCAGCACCUUACGGGAAACUAAAGUCUUUGGGUUCCGGGGGGAGUAUGGUCGCAAGGCUGAAACUUAAAGGAAUUGACGGAAGGGCACCACCAGGAGUGGAGCCUGCGGCUUAAUUUGACUCAACACGGGGAAACUUACCAGGUCCAGACAUUGUUAGGAUUGACAGAUUGAGAGCUCUUUCUUGA
rnacentral:rRNA from 1 species